UAAUUAUAGACUAGAAUAAAUGAAACAAUGAGAUUUUACCUGUAUCAUAAAAUAAACUAUAAACUUAUAAAAAGAGUGAAGAAGCCUUUAUUCUCCUGUAAGACAAGAAGACCCUGCGAAACUUAAAUUACCAUCUCUAUCUCAACUAUAAAAAAUUUGACUGGGGCGAUCAGAAUACACAUAACAAUUCUAAUUAAUCAAACUAACAAGUUGCUACCACACUUAUAUAACGACCCUAAAAUGAUCAUUGAAGUCAAGCUACUCCAGGGAUAACAGACUAAUUCUCUUUUAGAGUCCAUAUUAAAAAGAAAGUUUGGCACCUCGAUGUUGGC
rnacentral:rRNA from 1 species